rnacentral:rRNA from 1 species
AAUGAACGUUGGCGGCGUGGAUUAGGCAUGCAAGUCGAGCGGUAGGGAACUGCUCACACAUGCUCUCUCGAAAGCGAGCCGGAUGCGUAAGCGCCCGGAGUUCAGUUGAGAGAGCUGCGUGAGCAGUUCCUGAGAGCGGCGAAAGGGAGAGUAACGCGUAGUUACGUACCCCGAGGACCGGAAUAGCCACGGGAAACUGUGGGUAAUGCCGGAUAAUAUCNGGGGGCGAAAGCCCCCGGAUCAAAGGUGUGAUUCCGCCCUGGGAGCGGACUGCGUUGUACUAGCUUGUUGGUGGGGUAAUGGCCUACCAAGGCGAUGAUGCAUAGCGGGUGUGAGAGCAUGACCCGUNUCACUGGGACUGAGACACUGCCCAGACCACCGUACGGGUGGCUGCAGUCGAGAAU